rnacentral:rRNA from 1 species
GGGAUAAACGCUGGCGGCGUGCAUGAGACAUGCAAGUCAAACGGACGAUCGGGGUUCGCUCUGAUCGUUAGUGGCGGACGGCUGAGUAACGCGUAGGUGACCUGCCCCGAAGUGGGGAAUAACUGCCCGAAAGGGUGGCUAAUACCGCAUGUGGUGGUGCGUUCGAUCGCACCAGUAAAGCCGCAAGGCGCUUCGGGAGGGGCCCGCGUCCGAUUAGCUCGUUGGUGAGGUAACGGCUCACCAAGGCGACGAUCGGUAGGUGGUCUGAGAGGACGAUCACCCAGACUGGGACUGAGACACGGCCCAGACUCCUACGGGAGGCAGCAGUCGGGAAUUUUGCGCAAUGGACGAAAGUCUGACGCAGCAACGCCGCGUGAGGGAUGAAGGCCUUCGGGUUGUAAACCUCUUUUUCCAGGGAAGAUAAUGACGGUACCUGGCGAAUAAGUCACGGCUAACUACGUGCCAGCAGCCGC